ensembl:misc_RNA RN7SKP244 RN7SK pseudogene 244
GGAUUCAAUGUAGUGUAGCUAUGGCAUCUGUCACCAGGUUAAUUGCCAGAAUUGACUGACUGCUCUGGCAUCCUCCUAGUCCAGAGUUCCCUUCCUCUGAGAGCUCCAUGUGUGUUCUUCCCAAAGUGUCAACUCAAUCAAAAAGAAUGACAUUUCCAAUCUGACAAAGUCUAUUUUUAGUCAAGGUAUGUGGGGAGCUGUACUCCCUGGCUAGAGCUUUCCAAUAAGCACUGAAAUCCCUUUGCAAGCAAAUGUAGGUUAGCCAAAUCUGUUUUUACAAAGCGCCCCUCUCCACCUGUGAUUCUGU